rnacentral:rRNA from 1 species
CCCGACUGCUAUUUGGGUGAGAAUAAGCCAUGCGAGUUGAAUGGGAUACCUAAAGUUCCCAUAGCAAACUGCUCAGUAACACAUGAUCAACUUACCCUAUAGAGAAAAAUAACCUCGGGAAACUGAGGAUAAUGUUUCAUAAUUGAAUUGGCUUGGAAAAGUUUUUCAAUGAAAAGGAUAAAAAAAAUGGUUUUUAUCUGCUAUAGGAUAGGAUCGUGUUCGAUUAUGGUUGUUGGUGAGAUAAUGGCUCACCAAGCCGAUAAUCGAUAGGGGCCGUGAGAGCGGGAGCCCCGAGAUGGGUACUGAGACAACGACCCAGGCCUUACGAGGCGCAGCAGGCGCGGAACCUCCGCAAUACACGAAAGUGUGACGGGGUUACCCAAAGUGUUCAAUAGAACUGUGGUAGGUGAGUAAUGUCCCCUACUAGAAAGGAGAGGGCAAGGCUGGUGCCAGCCGCCGCGGUAAAACCAGCUCUUCAAGUGGUCGGGAUAAUUAUUGGGCUUAAAGUGUCCGUAGCCGGUUUAGUAAGUUCCUGGUAAAAUCGGGUAGCUUAACUAUCUGCAUGCUAGGAAUACUGCUAUACUAGAGGGCGGGAGAGGUCUGAGGUACUACAGGGGUAGGGGUGAAAUCUUAUAAUCCUUGUAGGACCACCAGUGGCGAAGGCGUCAGACUGGAACGCGCCUGACGGUGAGGGACGAAAGCCAGGGGAGCGAACCGGAUUAGAUACCCGGGUAGUCCUGGCCGUAAACGAUGCAUACUAGGUGAUGGUACGGCCAUGAGCCGUAUCAGUGCCGUAGGGAAACCGUUAAGUGUGCCGCCUGGGAAGUACCGUCGCAAGGCUAAAACUUAAAGGAAUUGGCGGGGGAGCACCACAAGGGGUGAAGCCUGCGGUUCAAUUGGAGUCAACGCCGG